rnacentral:rRNA from 1 species
UCUGGUUGAUCCUGCCAGUAGUCAUAUGCUUGUCUCAAAGAUUAAGCCAUGCAUGUCUAAGUAUAAAUAGUAUACAGUGAAACUGCGAAUGGCUCAUUAAAACAGUUAUAGUUUAUUUGAUAAUUGACAAUUACAUGGAUAACCGUGGUAAUUCUAGAGCUAAUACAUGCUUAAACGCCCGACUUUAUGGAAGGGUGGUAUUUAUUAGACUGAAGCCAAUAUUCCUUGUGUCUAUUGCGGUGAUUCAUAAUAACUGAUCGAAUCUCUUUUUGAGAUAAAUCAUUCAAGUUUCUGCCCUAUCAGCUUUCGAUGGUAGUGUAUUGGACUACCAUGGCAGUAACGGGUAACGAAGAAUUAGGGUUCGAUUUCGGAGAGGGAGCAUGAGAAACGGCUACCACAUCUAAGGAAGGCAGCAGGCGCGUAAAUUACCCAAUCCUGACUCAGGGAGGUAGUGACAAGAAAUAGCAAACCGGGAACCUCAUGGUUUCACGGUAUUGCAAUGAGAACAAUUUAAAACCCUUAGCGAGAAUCAAGUGGAGGACAAGUCUGGUGCCAGCACCCGCGGUAAUUCCAGCUCCACUAGCGUAUAUUAAAGUUGUUGCAGUUAAAAAGCUCGUAGUUGAACCUCUGUCUGGGGCUAGUUUUGGCUUUGGUCAGGCUAGUUCUAGGCAUCCGCCUACAAGACUUAGAGGGCAUUCAGUUGUUCACUAGGAGGAGUAGGCAUUUUACUUUGAAAAAAUUAGAGUGUUUAAGGCAGGCAAUCGCCCGCAUAUAUUAGCAUGGAAUAAUAGAAUAGGACACUUUUCCAUUUCGUUGGUUAUUGGAAUCGUGUAAUGAUUAAUAGGGACAGUUGUGGGCAUUUGUAUUUAAUUGUCAGAGGUGAAAUUCUUGGAUUUAUUAAAGACAAACUAACGCGAAAGCAUUUGCCAAGGAUGUUUUCAUUAAUCAAGAACGAAAGUUAGGGGAUCAAAGACGAUCAGAUACCGUCCUAGUCUUAACUAUAAACUAUUCCGACUCAAUGUUUGACUGGCUUAUAUAACCAGUUGAGCGUUGUAUGAGAAAUCAAAGUCUUUAGGUUCUGGGGGGAGUAUGGUUGCAAAGCUGAAACUUAAAGGAAUUGACGGAAGAGCACAACCAGGAGUGGAUUCUGCGGCUUAAUUUGACUCAACACGGGGAAACUUACCAGGUCAAAACAAUAGUGGGAUUGACAGUUUGAGAGCGCUUUCUUGAUUGGUUGGGUGGUGGUGCAUGGCCGUUCUUAGUUGGUGGAGUGAUUUGUCUGCUUAAUUGCGUUAAC